rnacentral:rRNA from 1 species
GAUCAACGCUGGCGGCGUGCCUAACACAUGCAAGUCGAACGAUGAAGAUUAAAAGAUUUCUUCGGAAUGAACUUAAUUGGAUUAGUGGCGGACGGGUGAGUAACGCGUGAGUAACCUGCCUUGUACAAGGGGAUAGCCGUUGGAAACGACGAAUAAUACCCUAUGACAUCAAAUAAUCGCAUGAUAAUUUGAUCAAAGAUUUAUCGGUAUAAGAUGGACUCGCGUCUGAUUAGCUAGUUGGUAGAGUAAAAGCCUACCAAGGCAACGAUCAGUAGCCGGCUUGAGAGAGUGUACGGCCACAUUGGGACUGAGACACGGCCCAGACUCCUACGGGAGGCAGCAGUGGGGAAUUUUGCACAAUGGGGGAAACCCUGAUGCAGUGACGCCGCGUGAUUUAGAAGGCCUUCGGGUUGUAAAAAUCUUUUGUAUGGGAAGAAAAUGACAGUACCAUACGAAUAAGGACCGGCUAAUUACGUG